UCAGCUCUCUUUGCCUUUUGGCUUAGAUCAAGUGUAGUAUCUGUUCUUUUCAGGUAUGACGUCACCAAAACCGCGAUGCGGCCAGUGCUAACAUUUGCGCAGUUUAAUCUCUGAAACGCCACUACGGUGGCAUUCUUGAUUAUUCAUAUUUUUGAAACCAGCUCGUUGGUUCCUGAGCUUGCUCAUACCAACGGGCACAGUGUCGCCAGUAUUGCACUAUCUCUGGCUGACGCGACCCUCU
rnacentral:snRNA from 1 species